UCGCUCUUCUCUGCCAUCUUUUCACAGUUGCUUUGGCAGUGCUGCCAAGGGACCUAACCACUCUUGCGUGCGAAUAGUUGCGUUUUCCUGUCUGAAUACUUAAUAACUAAAACUUUUAACAAUGGAUCUCUUGGUUCUGGCAUCGAUGAAGAACGCAGCCAAAUGCGAUAAGUAAUGUGAAUUGCAGAAUUCCGUGAAUCAUUGAAUUUUUGAACGCAUAUUGCGCCUCCUGGCAAUCCAGGAGGCAUGCCUGUUUGAGCGUCAGUACACCGUUAAUACUCUGUAUUGCUCUGUGGUUUUGACAUGUUUGUCUACCAUAAAACGGAUUGGCACCAUACUCCUGGGCUUUAGCUGUAGCAGUACUCUCAGCUUGGAAGUCUGGCGUACGCCUGCACUUGUUUUCUCGAUUUUGACCUCAAAUCAGGUAGGGAUACCCGCUGAACUUAAGCAUAUCAAUAAGCGGAGG
rnacentral:rRNA from 1 species